AGAGUAGGCGUAGGUGGUUGCGGAGACUUAAAAAAUCUCUGAGGAAAGUCCGGGCUUCCACAGAAUCAAACUGCUGGAUAAUACCCAGUGUGAGCGAUCGCGAGGAAAGUGCCACAGAAAAAUACCGCCUUGAUCAUAAUUUAUUAAGUAUUCAGGAUACUAAACCUAUUGCUAAAUAUUUAAAUCAGAUUAUGCUAAAGGUAAGGGUGCAAAGGUGUGUUAAGAGCGCACCAGCAAAGUCGAGAGGCUUUGGCUCGGUAAACCCCAGUUGGAAGCAAGGCGAGAGGAAUAAGCUAUAACUGAUUCUGGUCGGCUUUUCCGUUGUUAACUCCAGAGUUAGCGUGAGCCGCUUGAGGUGGUUGGUAACAGCCAUCCUAGAUAGAUAACUACCUGUGAAAAGUUAAACUACAGUUCAAACUAUAGUAAAUUCAAACAUUUCAUAAACAGAACCCGGCUUAUGUCCUGCUCUUCUU
rnacentral:RNase_P_RNA from 2 species